UACGAAGGGGGCUAGCGUUGCUCGGAAUCACUGGGCGUAAAGGGUGCGUAGGCGGGUCUUUAAGUCAGGGGUGAAAUCCUGGAGCUCAACUCCAGAACUGCCUUUGAUACUGAGGAUCUUGAGUAUGGGAGAGGUGAGUGGAACUGCGAGUGUAGAGGUGAAAUUCGUAGAUAUUCGCAAGAACACCAGUGGCGAAGGCGGCUCACUGGCCCAUUACUGACGCUGAGGCACGAAAGCGUGGGGAGCAAACAGGG
rnacentral:rRNA from 1 species